UACGUAGGGUGCAAGCGUUGUCCGGAUUUACUGGGCAUAAAGAGCGCGCAGGCGGUCGUUCAAGUCGCGUGUGAAAGCCCCCGGCUCAACUGGGGAGGGUCACGCGAUACUGAUCGACUCGAAGGCAGGAGAGGGUAGUGGAAUUCCCGGUGUAGUGGUGAAAUGCGUAGAUAUCGGGAGGAACACCAGUGGCGAAGGCGACUACCUGGCCUGUUCUUGACGCUGAGGCGCGAAAGCUAGGGGAGCAAACGGG
rnacentral:rRNA from 1 species